rnacentral:rRNA from 1 species
GAUGAACGCUGGCGGCGUGCCUAAUACAUGCAAGUCGAGCGAACAGACGAGGAGCUUGCUCCUCUGACGUUAGCGGCGGACGGGUGAGUAACACGUGGAUAACCUACCUAUAAGACUGGGAUAACUUCGGGAAACCGGAGCUAAUACCGGAUAAUAUAUUGAACCGCAUGGUUCAAUAGUGAAAGACGGUUUUGCUGUCACUUAUAGAUGGAUCCGCGCCGCAUUAGCUAGUUGGUAAGGUAACGGCUUACCAAGGCAACGAUGCGUAGCCGACCUGAGAGGCUGAUAGGCCACACUGGAGCGUGAACGCGGUCCAGACUCCUACGGUAGGCACCAGUAGGGAAUCUGCCGCAAUGGGCGAAAGCUUGACGGAGCAACCCCGCGUGAGUUGUGAAGGUCUUCGGAUCGUAAUACUCUGUUAUUAGGGAAGAACAAAUGUGUAAGUAACUAUGCACUUCUUGACGGUACCUAAUCAGAAAGCCACGGCUAACUACGUG